rnacentral:sRNA from 10 species
AUUAAUAUGGAGGGGUUAGAGAUGAUCGAAAGUCCACCACAGAAUCUUAACUGAUUGGUUUAAACACCAGUAACACAAAUCAAAGUUGACAGCUAAUCAAAAAACAUUGAGGGUAUAAAGCCCUCUUUUUUUGUAAA